rnacentral:rRNA from 1 species
AUGCACGCUAGCUACAGGCUUAACACAUGCAAGUCGAGGGGAAACGACAUCGAAAGCUUGCUUUUGAUGGGCGUCGACCGGCGCACGGGUGAGUAACGCGUAUCCAACCUGCCCAUCACUUGGGAAUAACCUUGCGAAAGUAAGACUAAUACCCAAUGAUAUCCCACGAAGGCAUCGGAAUGGGAUUAAAGAUUUAUCGGUGAUGGAUGGGGAUGCGUCUGAUUAGCUUGUUGGCGGGGUAACGGCCCACCAAGGCAACGAUCAGUAGGGGUUCUGAGAGGAAGGUCCCCCGCAGUGGAACGGGGACACGGUCCAAACUCCAACGGGAGGCAGCAGUGAGGAAGAAUGGUCAAUGGGCGAGAGCCUGAACCAGCCAGGUAGCGUGCAGGAAGACGGGCCUAUGAGUUGUAAACUGCUUUUAUAAGGGAAUAAAGUGGGUGACGUGUGACUUUUUGCAUGUACCGUAGGAAUAAGGACCGGCUAAUUCCGU